CUUUUUACAUUUUGCUCACAACCAAAGUCCAAAUAUAUGGAAUAUCCAGCCACUUUUUAUUACUCACUUAAUCUUACACUUGACAAGUAAAAUUGCCUGGUGUUGGACAGAGAAAAAUAACAAAGUAUGCCAUAUUUGAUUAUCCCAUGCAUAUUCCCAUUACUGUAGUGUGACCAGGCAAGACUCUCCCUUGGAUGGAUAAAAUUGGGGGCUAUGGAGAUUUAAAUGGCAAGAGGUGGGGGAAACAUUUUCUCCAGUAAAAUUUAUGGGGAGCCAUUGGAAAUUUAUGGGGGCCAUUGGAAUUUUAUGGGGGCCAUUGGAAUCAUCAACCAGAGUAUCGAGGCGAUAAAGAAAAGAAUACCUGACUGUAAAAUUGAUGUAUUCUAACUUUCUUGUCACACAAAGUUAGGUAACGUUGGCAUUUUCACACUUUUCUAUUAUUAUGGUACUAUUCUGUUAAGUAUUUAUUGGAUGAGUCAGAGACCAAUGGAUUGGUAUGAGGGCAGUUAAUUUGUAAUUUUUGCAUGUAUUCAUUUAUUAACUAUUGACUACUGUUAUGGUCAGCCAGUUAAAUAAGUAUUUUACUGAGGGUAUUGGCUAACUAUUUUACACGUCAAAGAGAACUCCAGUUAUGAAAGAUUGAAUAUUUUCUGA